rnacentral:lncRNA from 1 species
AUACUCACAUGGAAACUCCAGCAAGGGCAAGCCCCAGUGACAGAAAGCCUGGAUGAUGAGCCAGACUACAUCAACACAGGUCCUGCUGUCAGAGCAAAGUAUUCUGCAUAAAGACUGAAGAAAUCUUUUGCUGAGCUGUAAGAACACACCCAGCGAACAUGCACACAGGGAGAGGGGAGAUUUCCAACCCUCAGUGAAAUCUCUUCU